rnacentral:rRNA from 1 species
CAGUAGGGAAUUUUCCACAAUGGGCGAAAGCCUGAUGGAGCAACGCCGCGUGAGGGAUGAAUCAUUUCGGUGUGUAAACCUCUUUGGAGCGGGAAGAAUGUCGUUUGGGUGAAUAAUCCAGACGGGUGACGGUACCGCUAGAACAAGACACGGCUAACUUCGUGCCAGCAGCCGCGGUAAUACGAAGGUGUCAAACGUUGUCCGGAAUAACUGGGCGUAAAGGGCGCGUAGGCGGUUUGAAAAGUCAGAUGUGAAAGCUCUGGGCUCAACCCAGGAAUUGCAUUUGAAACUCUCAGACUUGAGUUCGGUAGAGGAGGGCGGAAUUCCAGGUGUAGCGGUGAAAUGCGUUGAUAUCUGGAGGAACACCCGUGGCGAAGGCGGCUCUCUGGUCCGAUACUGACGCUGAGGCGCGAAAGGUAGGGUAGCAAACAGGAUUAGA